CCAGUUGGCCGGGCAGCCGCGCUUUAUCAAUGUCGAAAGACGGUAGGGUGAGGAAAGUCCGGGCUCCACGAAAACACGGUGCCGGAUAACGUCCGGCGGGGGCGACCCUAGGGAAAGUGCCGCAGAGAGUAGACCGCCACCUUUCAGGUGGUAAGGGUGAAAGGGUGGGGUAAGAGCCCACCGCGCCGCUGGUAACAGGGGUGGCAUGGUAAACCCCACCGGGAGCAAGACCGAAUAGGGAUGACGUGGGGUCAAGCGAAAGCGGACCUACAGCCGGUUUUUGGGCGAGUCAUCCGGGUGGGUUGCGAGAGGCGGCGUGUAAAUGUCGUCCUAGAUGAAUGGCUGCCACGUUCCGGGUCAAACCGGAGCCAUACAGAACCCGGCUUACAGGCCAACUGGCAAA
rnacentral:RNase_P_RNA from 1 species